CGACAACAUCAUGUCUGUUUGGUGAACCUG
rnacentral:piRNA from 1 species